UACGUAGGGUGCGAGCGUUGUCCGGAAUUAUUGGGCGUAAAGGGCACGUAGGUGGUCUCGUUUGUCUGGGGUGAAAGCCUUGGGCUUAACUCAAGAAGUGCCCCAGAAACGGCGAGACUAGAGUACUGGAGAGGGUCGUGGAAUUCCCGGUGUAGCGGUGAAAUGCGUAGAGAUCGGGAGGAACACCAGCGGCGAAGGCGGCGACCUGGACAGUUACUGACACUCAACUGCGAAAGCGUGGGGAGCAAACAGG
rnacentral:rRNA from 1 species